UAUGGGAGGCAGUAGUGAGGAAUAUUGCACAAUGGGCGCAAGCCUGAUGCAGCCAUGCCGCGUGUAUGAAAAGGCCUUCGGGUUGUAAAGUACUUUCAGUCGUGAGGAAGGUGUUAAGGUUAAUAACCUUAGCAAUUGACGUUAGCGACAGAAGAAGCACCGGCUAACUCCGUGCCAGCAGCCGCGGUAAUACGGAGGGUGCGAGCGUUAAUCGGAAUUACUGGGCGUAAAGGGCACGCAGGCGGUUAAUUAAGUUGGAUGUGAAAUCCCCGGGCUUAACCUGGGAAUGGCAUUCAAGACUGGUUAGCUAGAGUCUUGUAGAGGGGGUAGAAUUCCAUGUGUAGCGGUGAAAUGCGUAGAGAUGUGGAGGAAUACCGGUGGCGAAGGCGGCCCCUGGACAAAGACUGACGCUCAUGUGCGAAAGCGUGGGGAGCAAAC
rnacentral:rRNA from 1 species